rnacentral:rRNA from 1 species
GGAGGAAUAUUGGUCAAUGGGCGGGAGCCUGAACCAGCCAAGCCGCGUGAGGGAGGAAGGCCCUAUGGGUCGUAAACCUCUUUUGUCAGGGAACAAAAGCGAGUAUGUAUACUAGUCUGAGUGUACCUGAAGAAAAAGCAUCGGCUAACUCCGUGCCAGCAGCCGCGGUAAUACGGAGGAUGCGAGCGUUAUCCGGAUUUAUUGGGUUUAAAGGGUGCGUAGGCGGCGGUGCAAGUCAGCGGUAAAAGCCCGGGGCUCAACCCCGGCGAGCCGUUGAAACUGCAGUGCUAGAGAAGGCGAGAGGUACGCGGAAUGCGCAGUGUAGCGGUGAAAUGCUUAGAUAUUGCGCAGAACUCCGAUUGCGAAGGCAGCGUACUGGCGCCUGACUGACGCUGAGGCACGAAAGCGUGGGGAUCGAACAGGAUUAGAUACCC